rnacentral:rRNA from 1 species
UAGGGAAUCUUCGGCAAUGGACGAAAGUCUGACCGAGCAACGCCGCGUGAGUGAAGAAGGUUUUCGGAUCGUAAAACUCUGUUGUUAGAGAAGAACAAGGACGUUAGUAACUGAACGUCCCCUGACGGUAUCUAACCAGAAAGCUACGGCUAACUACGUGCCAGCAGCCGCGGUAAUACGUAGGUGGCAAGCGUUGUCCGGAUUUAUUGGGCGUAAAGCGAGCGCAGGCGGUUUCUUAAGUCUGAUGUGAAAGCCCCCGGCUCAACCGGGGAGGGUCAUUGGAAACUGGGAGACUGGAGUGCAGAAGAGGAGAGUGGAAUUCCAUGUGUAGCGGUGAAAUGCGUAGAUAUAUGGAGGAACACCAGUGGCGAAGGCGGCUCUCUGGUCUGUAACUGACGCUGAGGCUCGAAAGCGUGGGGAGCAAACAGG